AUUGAACGCUGGCGGCAUGCCUAACACAUGCAAGUCGAACGGUAACAGGCCCUUCGGGGCGCUGACGAGUGGCGGACGGGUGAGUAAUGCUUAGGAAUCUGCCUAGUAGUGGGGGAUAACCCGGGGAAACUCGGGCUAAUACCGCAUACGUCCUACGGGAGAAAGCGGGGGACCUUCGGGCCUCGCGCUAUUAGAUGAGCCUAAGUCCGAUUAGCUAGUUGGUAGGGUAAUAGCCUACCAAGGCGACGAUCGGUAGCUGGUCUGAGAGGACGACCAGCCACACUGGGACUGAGACACGGCCCAGACUCCUACGGGAGGCAGCAGUGGGGAAUAUUGGACAAUGGGCGCAAGCCUGAUCCAGCGAUGCCGCGUGUGUGAAGAAGGCCUGCGGGUUGUAAAGCACUUUCAGUUGUGAAGAAAGACCGCGGGCUAAUACCCCUCGGUCUUGACGUUAAUGACAGAAGAAGCACCGGCUAACUCCGUGCCAGCCGCCGC
rnacentral:rRNA from 1 species